rnacentral:rRNA from 1 species
CCAAGGAGUUUAGACUGUGCGCGAGUCAAAGGGCUGGCUAAACCCAAAGGCGAAACGAAAGUGAAUUUCAUAGGGCCGAUCCGGUUCGGGGUGUCCGCCGGGCGGCGUUUGUCGCUUCUUCGGCCCCCGAUUUGUCUCUUUGAACGAGGACGGCGCAGGCCCGGGGCUCGCACGCAACCUCCCCGCCGCUAAUGCUUAGGUGCUAGUCCCCUAUCGACCGCGAGUGCGGAUGUCUCCCUUCGGCGCUUCACGUUACCGAAUCUUCUUUUCCGAUCCGUCGGUCUGGGAGGCUAGGUCUCGUCGUUGCGUUCUUGGGUAUCCGUGAGUGCGUUGACGUUCGGGGCUUCCCUCUCGCAGGCGUGGGACGGGCGGCGGGUUCUCUGAGCGCACAUUCUAGUACCCGAAAGAUGGUGAUCUAUGCCUGGCCAGGAUGAAGCCAGAGGAAACUCUGGUGGAGGUCC